rnacentral:lncRNA from 1 species
CUCCACUCACUAACCCCUUAACAGAAUAUAGAUAUACACACACCACUCAAAAGAAAAAAACAUUACACACACACUACCUCACUGUAUAAGACACCAUCGUCUUCUCCGCAAUUCACAAAAAAUCACUCUCACAUACGCAUACUACUCACCUUCACUGGAAAAGGCUCUCAUACGGAUGCACAAUUCUCUCUACACAGUACACACGCAGCUCACCGCACACUCACCGAAGACGAAAAAUUUCUCACAAAAAAAAUGCACACACAUCGUGGAAGCCAGUGGAGAAGAAAAAGAGUGGAAUCGGGUGAAAACAGUAGAAAAGAUGGAGAAACAUUGAUGAAUUGAGGGGGGAGAAACAGUGAACGAUCGAGAAAGGAAGGUCGAUUUUCUGAUGAAAUCUCGUCGGAAACGUCAUCUCUACCGACAAUCUGAAUCCAAAAGCCACCAGCUCCUUCAUUUGUCCAAAAAUUCGAUUAAACCCACAUCACAUCGACUCAAGGAACCGACCAUUCCUUCUCCGUCCCCGUCACCGUCGAGUUCUUCGGUGAAGCUCACUAGAGCCCCGGUAAGUAGCGAAAUCCGUGGUCAAAACAGUGCACAAAUUCUAGUUGAGUCAUCGGUCUUUUGGGUUCUAUUUCGAAUCACCAAGUUGGGUCCAAUUUGAAGUCGAAAUUCGAUUCGAUUUUGGUCGUUGUUAAGGUCGGCUUGAGGUUCUAGUCACGGUUUUAAUCGGAAUAAUACAUCGAUUUUGAAAGCGGCAUUGAGGUCCAAUUCUAUCUUCUCUCCCUUUAAUUUUUACGUGAAUAUGAAUGAUUUGUUGCUUGACAUACUUGAAUCUUUGUUUUGCGUUGGUUGAUGUUGGACUUGAAUGUGAAAAUUUGGAUUAGUAGUUGAAGAAUUGAUUUAUUAUUUUGAGAAUGAAUUCGGGGAGGGAUUGGUUUUGAUGAAAGAUGAAUGUUGGUUAUUUUGAUUCAUUAAACGCGAUAGUAUCAUGAUAGGAUGAAAUUGGUAGGCAAAUGGUAGGCUGGCUAGGCAAAUUUAGGAAUUGUUGGUCGGGAAAUGUUUUGAGGGAUUUGUAUUGAUUUAUCCGGGAAAUGCCCCGAAGUGUUAUGUGCGCAGAGGAGGCUCGUUAUUAAGGCCCGAGGCAUCGGGUAAGACAUUGGAGCGUAGUUUUAGAAUUAGCUUAUAAUAGGAUUUAUAUUUUCGCAUUUUUUUUCUAUUUUUAGGACUAUAUAAUUGGACUGAACACUAAAGUUCGGAUUAUUUUGUUUUGUUUGUUUGAUUGAUUGUUUUAUAUGCUUUUGUGUGGUUUAUAUAUUCGUAAUGUUAAAUUAGUCGAUAUGCUCUACCAAGCGACCGUGGUCAAAUCACGGAACCGAGGGGUGCCUAACACCUUCCCCUCGAUCAACAUAAUUCCUUAGUUGGAAUCUCUGUUUGCAAACUAAUUUAAAGAGUCAAAUCAUUUUUGAAAGAGGAUUUUCAAAUCUGACUUGGCACAUCAGAUUUAUGUCAAGUGGCAACUCUGAGUUAAUUGUAAAAUGAAUUCUUUUUGAAAUAAUUUUUAUUUUGUCACUUUAAUAAUAAAAAUCCUUUCAAACUUUAAAAUCAAUUCUUUUUUGGUUAAAAAAAGGGGUGUGACAAGUUGAACUUCUUGACUUUCAUUAAAAUACUUUGCAAUAGAUAAAAUGGUCUUUCACUUUUUCUCUUCAAUUAUUAUUUAAUUAAAUUACGCAAUCCUAAAAUAUAUAAUAAUAACAAAUAUAUGAUAAAAAAAUAUUAAGAGAACUAAAAUAUUUGAAUAUAUAUGAAAAGUAUAAUUAGUUAAGAAAAAUUAAUGCCACUUUAUAAAAAUUCUAAAUAAAUAAUAUGUCAAUUAGAGCAACAAAAAAAGGUUCAUAAAAGUAUUCUUGAUCUUGAAUAUGAAUGAAAUAAUAUUGAAGAAGCUAUAUUUAAUUUAUAUAAUUAAAAUAAGGAACAUAUUUAUAUAUAGGAUAAUAAUACUUAUGUUUUUUAAUCUUUUUGAAAACUUAUUAUUUCUAUUUAAUUUGGGAAAUAAAGUUUAUCCCAAGUAAAUUGUCUCCCUAAUCAAAUAGGAAAGAGGUUUAUGUAUGAUACUAUAUAUAUAAAGGGUGAUGAAAAGAAAAAUUCAAAAAAUGAAUGAUGCAAGUCAUUAUUGAUUGAUUCUCCAAUAUUCUUAUGCUGGUGAGAAAAAUUCAUGGGGAAAAUGUGAUUUAGACUUUGCGUCUAUUAUAAACGGAAUUAAAGGUUUGUAGAGAAUUUUAUUUCUAAUGCAUAUUGAUAUUAUUUAUAUUGUUAAGGUUAAAUUAUUAGACGUCCUUCAACAAAUAUUAUUAUAUGCUUUUGUUUUAUAUGCUUAAUAUUAUUUUUUGUGUUGGUUGGUACUAUGAUUUGAUGUAUGUCUAAUGCCUUAUUUUGCUUGAUAAGGUUUGAUGUGUUAUUAAUGCCCUUGAUAAAGGUGGUAGAUGAAUGGCUUUGAGAUUUUUUUAAAAGUAAAAUUAGGUAUGAUCACAUUGGUUUGAUAUCUCAAUUGUCAUAUUGUUUUGUUGUAAUUUCUAUUCUAUUGUCAUCUAUUAUUUUUGUCAUUAUCCGUUGUUUAUUGUACUUUGUAAUUACUUCUUUUUUGAACAACUUUGGGUGAUUUUUCCUUGAGUCCAGGUCUUUCAUCAAGUUGAAGUGAAAAAAUAUAACUAAUUAAUGAAUGUUUUCAUAUUGUGAGCAGUUGAGAGUAUUCGAGAUUUUAAAGAUACCGAACAUAUUGUUUUAUUGUAGUUUCUAUUAUGUUAUCAUCUACUGUUUUUAUUAUUAUCUGAAUGACUUUGGGUUGUUUUUUCAUGUGUCGAGAUCCUUCAUCAAGUUUAAGUGUGAAUACAAGACUAAUUGAUAAAUGUUUUCAUAUUUUGAGCAGUUGAAGGUAUAUGAGAUCUUGAAGAUGUCAAAAAAAUUCAUCAUUCGCUUUCUUUUUGGUAUGCAAUCUAUUAUAUAUCUUUGAAUUUUGAGUUUUGGUAAUUGAGUUUGUUUUAUUAUUUUUUCUUUUCAGUUUAGUUUGUAAUUGAUAGACAUAUUAUGAAAUUUGUUUUGUGAAGUUGCAGUUUUGGAGGUUCUUGAAUAGACAUAGCUUGCUUAUAUUUUAUUAUUUAUUAGAUGCAUAUUUUCAUAAAAUUUUAAUGGUUCUAACCAAUUUAUGAAUACUAUAUAAACUAGAGAAAGCGCGGUAUUAAAAAAUUAAUUAUUUGAUGUAAAAAAUUAAUUAUUUUCUCAGUUCAAUUUUAUAUUCACUUUAAAUUUAUUAUCUAACCAUAAAAUUAUAACUUAUUAUAAUGAUAUUAUGAAGAAUGUUUAAAACAAACAUUGAAUUUUACAUUCAUACAAAAACUUUUAAUGAAAAAUAAGAAAAAAUAUAUAUGAGUGUACGUGUUUUACACGUGUCUCUCACAUCAAUCAAUAAAGUAUACAUAAGAAUUAAGAACAAUAUAAUUAGAAAGUAGCAAUAUAAUAACGUUAAAAAAUGAUAUAUCUAUUUAAAUUAUAUAAAUAAAUAUUUUAUCUCAAAUAUAGUAUUAUGUGAUGUGUCUCACUUCAAUGUUUAUUAUAAACGAAAAGAACAAAGUUAAUUUGAAUUUCAUGCUAAUAAAAUUGUUCUCAAACCUCAUUACUCCUUUCACUAAAUAUUAAAUCUUAAAAGUUUUCUAAAAUUUUGACCAACCAAUGAAGUUUCUAGAAUUUUCCUUUUCAAAACAACCCUUUUUAGAUAUAUAUUAUAUGUAUUAUAUUAGAAUACUACUGAAUUUUACCAAAAUAAGGAAAGAAUUUUGCCAAAAAUAGAUUUGUAUUGCAUAUAUAUUAUUUGUACUAUUUGUAUUGUAGUAUUACCAUACCACUUAAUUUUACCAAAAAUGAGGAGUUUUACAAAAUUGAAAAACGACAACCAACAUGGAAACACUAAUUACUUCUCCUCCUAUAUACUUUGGGAGUUUAGUUAAUAUUAUAAAUGUAAUAAUAUAAUAAUUUAGAGAAAUAAGUGAAAAGACAAUUUUAUUUGGUGUAGACAUUUUUAAUGAAACGCAAAAAGUUCAAAUCAUUUUUUCAAGGGUCUUCACAUUUUUAAUAUAUAUAUAUAACCAAUUUCAAUAGUGUAAGUCUUUUUAAGUCUUCAUCACUAUAUACAAAUUGAUUUCAUAUUACAAGUAUACAACUAUCUCAAUGUGAAUAUUGCAAUUUGCAUUAAAAAAAAAAUCGGGAAGAAAAAAGCCUAGAUGAUACAAAUUUAUAUAUAGAGCUUAAAAUAAAAAAACAAUGAAAAAAUCUAUUAGACAAGAAGAUCAAAAAGCAUGAAAAAAAUAAAUUAAGUAGAUCCCUGUGCAAAUAUCCAUAAUCUCUCCGCUCCUAAUUAUCAACAAAACUCAAAUCCUUCUCCAACAUUACAUAACUUCCUUCUUCAUAUAUUUUCGAAGUGUACAAUAUUAUAACUCGCAAGAUUAACUACAUAACUUCCUUCUUCAUAUAACUCUCAAUUUUCUUGAGUAAUGAAGAUUACUAAGAGGAUGAGUUAUAAAGAUGAUAAUAUGUGAGUUAAAGGCACAAAAUUAAUGGAUAUUAUUAUAAUAUAAGUUAUGGGAAUAUGAGUUGGUGUGAGUUAAAAUGAUUUAUUAAAUAAUUAUUUUAAAAAAUAAAAAUAAUUUAAAAUAGAUUAUGGUGUUAUUAUUAUAUGGUGAAAAUGAAAAAUCAAUGUUAAAAAAAUAAAAAAUAAAUAAAUGCAAUUGGAGGCCGUAGAAGUAUGUCACUCAGUAUAUUUCUAAUUCUCCUUGAGAGAUAGAUGUUUAUAAUUACAAACUUUCAAGUAUUCAUAUUUUUAUAAUGAUCCGCUAAUUAACAAUAAUAGUAAGUAAUUAUUCUUUAAAUAUGAUUCUUUCACAUGGUACGUACAACCUCUUUAAUUAAUAUGAUGAAAUUUUUCUUUUAUAAAAUAUAAACUUAUAAAUCUAAUUUUAUAUUUAAAAGAAUUAAAAUCAUGAUUUAAAAUUCCAAUCAUGAUUUUUUGAAAUUUGAAAUUUUAUCUCAUGAGAUGAAAUCAUAUAUCCUACUCUUGAUUUAAUCUCAUAAAUGUCUACUUAGAUUGUGAAUGACAAGACAUCCGGCUAAAAAUCUACUCUUGUAUGCAGAUGGAAUCAAAUCCACAAAAUAUAUAGUCCUGAAUGUUAAGCUCAAAAGUAUUGCUUGGAAUGUUAAGACAAUACGUGUACACUGUAUAUAUAGUCCUGAAUCAAUUCAAUUCAGUUCUACUCUCACAUCUUUGGAGAAAAAAAUCAUGUCACAAAUGCUUCUACAUUGCAAAAAGAGUUAAGUUGUGUUGCAAUGGCCAUGAAUAAUGCAGAAAUGACACCAAAGAAUUAAUAGUAGUAAUAAUGAAGGCAACACCA